UACGUAGGGUGCGAGCGUUAAUCGGAAUUACUGGGCGUAAAGCGUGCGCAGGCGGGCUUUUAAGCCAGACGUGAAAUCCCCGGGCUUAACCUGGGAAUGGCGUUUGGGACUGGAAGUCUGGAGUGCGGCAGAGGAGACUGGAAUUCCUGGUGUAGCAGUGAAAUGCGUAGAUAUCAAGCAGAACACCUGCGGCGAAGGCGGCCUUCUGGACGGUGACUGACGCUGAGACGCGAAAGCGUGGGGAGCAAACAGG
rnacentral:rRNA from 1 species